rnacentral:rRNA from 1 species
UACGUAGGGGGCGAGCGUUGUCCGGAUUUAUUGGGCGUAAAGAGCGUGUAGGCGGCCAGGAAGGUCCGUUGUGAAAACUCGAGGCUCAACCUCGAGACGUCGAUGGAAACCAUCUGGCUAGAGUCCGGAAGAGGAGAGUGGAAUUCCUGGUGUAGCGGUGAAAUGCGCAGAUAUCAGGAAGAACACCUAUGGCGAAGGCAGCUCUCUGGGACGGUACUGACGCUGAGACGCGAAAGCGUGGGGAGCGAACAGG